rnacentral:rRNA from 1 species
AUUGUAGUCUGCAACCCGACUACUUGAAGCCGGAAUCGCUAGUAAUCGCGGAUCAGAAUGCCGCGGUGAAUACGUUCCCGGGUCUUGUACACACCGCCCGUCACACCAUGGGAGUCGGAAAUGCCCGAAGCCGGUGACCCAACCCGAAAGGGAGGGAGCCGUCGAAGGCAGGUCGGAUGACUGGGGUGAAGUCGUAACAAGGUAUC